rnacentral:snoRNA from 1 species
CUACAGCUUAAGCCGACUGUGCUCUUUCCCCAUGGGGCCCAGUGUGCAAUGGCUGCGAACAGCAGCCUCCUUGGUAGUGUAUGCAGCCUGUUGGUUGUACGGGUUGCUCUAAGGGACCUUGAAGACAGUU